GACGAACGCUGGCGGCGUGCUUAACACAUGCAAGUCGAACGGAAAGGCCCUGCUUUUGUGGGGUGCUCGAGUGGCGAACGGGUGAGUAACACGUGAGUAACCUGCCCUUGACUUUGGGAUAACUUCAGGAAACUGGGGCUAAUACCGGAUAGGAGCUCCUGCUGCAUGGUGGGGGUUGGAAAGUUUCGGCGGUUGGGGAUGGACUCGCGGCUUAUCAGCUUGUUGGUGGGGUAGUGGCUUACCAAGGCUUUGACGGGUAGCCGGCCUGAGAGGGUGACCGGCCACAUUAGGACUGAGAUACGGCCCAGACUCCUACGGGAGGCAGCAGUGGGGAAUAUUGCACAAUGGGCGGGAGCCUGAUGCAGCAACGCCGCGUGCGGGAUGACGGCCUUCGGGUUGUAAACCGCUUUCGCCUGUGACGAAGCGUGAGUGACGGUAAUGGGUAAAGAAGCACCGGCUAACUACGUG
rnacentral:rRNA from 1 species